GUUCAGUUUUCAAAAUGGUAAACACUAACUGGUGGUCGGCACCAGUGGAGACAGAUAUGACUAGCUGUCAAUUGUUAAAAGCAGGGGUGGACCAUGAACCCCUGUCAGUAUUUGACCGCCUCAGACUUUGUAACUCACUUCACUGACAAGAUCUCUACAAUCAGGGAAGAGAUGUCUCAUCUUUCUUCUUUCCCUUACAAUUCUUCCCCUAACUUCAC